rfam:Sphaerobolus stellatus SS14 unplaced genomic scaffold SPHSTscaffold_2, whole genome shotgun sequence.
GGUUUGCUAGCUCAAUUGGUAGAGCAAGAGAUUUUUGUGUGAGAAACUCAUUUCUCCAGGUUGCGGGUUCGACCCCUGCGUAAGCCC